GGUAAACACUCCGACAGAGCUAUGUCUGACAGCCUUGCUGCUCACUGAAAGAACAAGGGACAGAGAAAAAAGUCUGUGUGGCUGAGCACUAGAAAGACUGUGAGGCGGAGGAAGGAAGAUAUAGGGUGAGGGUGAGAGAAAGCAAGAGACAAAAUAUAUGGAGGAGGAGAGCUCAGCCACAGGGGGAGUGUGUUCUGAAAAACCAGGCAGAAUUCAGCCGCUGGUGAGCCUGAACACCAAUCCUCUCCCUUCUGCCACAGGCUGGGAGGGAUUGAGCCAGGAUUUCCAUUGGGUUCUUCCAGGGAGUGAUUUAGAGAAGAGUCCAGGGCUGUUGAUUAGGAUUUGUAGCUUUAUGUAGGGAAUAUGCUGGAGAGGAUUUGAAUACGCUGUUCGCUGUUAUUGCAAAUUGCACACAGUAGUGUCUACGACGUGGAGGCUCAGUCUGCUGGUUAGUAUUGGCAGUGCUGCUCCCACCCCUGCUGCUGGGGUUGUUUGGGGGCUAUGUUUCUGACUGACUAGGGCAGCAUCACCCACAUGCAGGGCAGAGGCUGAAUGGGAGGUAAAGAGUGCAACUAACCAGCAUGGGAGCCAAACAGAUGAAAUGCCUCAGUUCAGCCAGCCCUGCACACUCCCCUAAAGAAGAGUACAUCAUCGCUCAGUCCACAGACACUCCUAAAGAAGUAUUGAUCUCAGCUCAAUCUGAAGACCACGCCGAGCCAGUAGAUGACAAAUCAGAGUUGACGGAAAGGAAAUCUGAUACAGAAGAGGUGUUGUCUCUCUGUGGCCUGUGUCUGACCCCGGGGCAUAGUGGACCAGAGGAGGAGAGAUCAUGGGAGGAGCAGCUGGAGUGUCACCAGGAGCAGCUGGAAAAGGAGAUGCAGGAGGCCAGGAGGAUGGUGUUCCGCCUGCAGGCUCUACUGCUGCACGGCUCUCUCCCUGAGGACGAGCAGGAUGUCUCCAUGGGCUUCGGGGAUAGCAGAGCUAACUCUGAGCAGCAGCUGGUUCUAAUCCGCAGUCGUCUGGACCAAAGCAUGGAGGAGGCUCUUGAUCUGAAGAGGGAGCUUCUGAGGCACAAGCAGGAGGCACGCCACCUUCAGGCCAUUAAGGAUGCUCUUCAGCAGCGUAUGUCUGUACAGGAGGCUGCGGUGCUGCAGCUGAAGCAGGAGCUACUGAGGUGCAGUAUGGACAAAGAACAACUGGAGGGGGAGAACGCAGAGCUCAAACGGAAGUUGAGCGAUCGGAACAAACUGCUCAGUGAAUAUGAGCAGCAACUUGGAAAAAAGGAUAGACUACAUCAGCAACAGCAACUGAAACUGGACGAUGCUCGGCACAACUCUAAUGAAGGAAGCCACAGGUCAUCUAGGAGUGAAAAGAGUGGGUACGGUAACUCUGUGGGCCCACCCCCUGGUCCGGCCUUCCAACACACAGCGCAGGGGGAGGAACUGCAGCUGGUAAGGGAGGCCCUGCGUAGUCUGAGGGAUGGCUUCUCAGGUCACGACCCUCAGCAUCACACCCUGGACACACUGGAGCAAGGGGUGGCCAGUCUCAUGGACCGCCUAUACACACUCGACACACGCCGCAGGCAGCAGGACAGAGGGGGUCAGUGCAAGUCACCAGGACGAAGAGCCAACCCCACAGACAGGGACUCAUGGCCACCCAGCUCAAAAAUAGCUCACUCUCACAGCAGCCCUGGCCUGGACUCCACAGUCUCCACCAAAGUGCUCUACUUCACUGAUCGCUCACUCACUCCUUUCCUGGUCAACAUCUCCAAAAGAUCAAUGUACCAUGAUGCCAUCUGACAGUGAGACUGUGCUGUGCUGUUAGGCUGGGGGAGGUGACCCUGAGAGACUUCAAGGCAGCGGUGGACCGCCAGGGUAGCUUCAGGUACCACUUCAAAGCCCUCGACCCAGAGUUUGGGACUGUGAAGGAGGAGGUGUUCCAGGAUGGAGCCCUGGUGCCUGGCUGGGAGGGGAAGAUAGUGGCCUGGGUGGAGGAGGACCAUGGAGAGAGACGGUAGAAGUGGGAACCAACCAACCAUAGAGGGAACCGCUAGCCUCAAACUGUGACCACUGGACUAUGAUGCCAUAACACCCUCUCAGUAUUCUCAGCAGCCCUGCAGAGGUAGCUAUUAUAACAAUUGGGAUCAAUCUAUUUAUUACUGUUUCGAGAUAAAACCAUACUUUCAAAAAUGUCUCUUUCCUAUGGAUAUUUGACUUACAGUAACUGUUUGAAGUACAAGUUGAAGUUGCCAAAUAUGAAUGAAUACAAUUUUUAAGUUUUAAUAAACAUGGAUUACUGCAUGAA